CCCUUACAUGAUUUCUUCUUUAUAUAAAUAAAUGAAUAUAAGGUCUAUAGAGAAAUUACCUACAUGUAUAUUUUGUGCAAUAGCUCUUCUUAUCUAAUAGGAAAAGGAUAAAGGCUGAAUUUGCUGCAAGAAAACAAAUAGUCUUCUAGUGACCUAGCAGACUAUUUCAUGGCAUACGGUCUCUUAGGCUAAGAUUGAUGUUCAGAUAGCGU
rnacentral:lncRNA from 1 species